ensembl:ncRNA H09I01.4 ncRNA
AAAAAAACAAAACUGCUCAGACAGUACGAGUAACGUCUAACCAUUGUUUUUGUCAUAGUAGGUAAGAGUUGAUCGUCACCGCAGUCAG